UUCAUUAAACUCUUAAAAAAUAAAAAAUAAAAAGAAAUUCUAUCAUUUCUUGCUUUCCACAUUUUAGUAGAAGUCCUAUUUAGCCAAUGAAUGGAAUCGUUAUAGGAAUGCGAUGUGUCCGACGAAGAAACUGACUAAUCACGGCCGCCGUAUUACAUUGCUUAAGACUAAGAUGUCACUCGCACAUGUGAUGAUUCGGAGAAAGCUGCUCGAUCUACAUCAGAAUGAAUUUUAUUGCAUUCGAUAAUGAUUUCUGAUUUAGGAACAAGAUUAAUGAAUGACACUGGUGUAAAAGACUUUAUCGUUACAACCUCAUUAUUUAUCAUGUAAAGACGAUGCUAUACACAACAGAUAUGACCCUGCCUCUAUAAGUUUAUGGUAGAAGCACUGAAAUAUUUGCUCUGAACUGAGAUUGAUAACAACAUUUCUCUACCUCAUCUCAUUGUCAAGUGCAUUCUAAUAAAACUUGAAUAAAUUUAUAAAAGAGUUU